rnacentral:rRNA from 1 species
CCUACGGGAGACAGCAGUGGGGAAUAUUGCACCAUGGGGGAAACCCUGAUGCAGUGACGCCUCGUGAGUGAAGAAGUAUUUCGGUAUGUAAAGCUCUAUCAGCAGGGAAGAGAAUGACGGUACCUGAGUAAGAAGCCCCGGCUAACUACGUGCCAGCAGCCGCGGUAAUACGUAGGGGGCAAGCGUUAUCCGGAUUUACUGGGUGUAAAGGGAGCGUAGACGGCGAAGAAAGUCUGAAGUGAAAGCCCGCGGCUCAACCGCGGAACUGCUUUGGAAACUUUUGUGCUGGAGUACCGGAGAGGUAAGCGGAAUGCGUAGUGUAGCGGUGAAAUGCGUAGAUAUUAGGAGGAACACCAGUGGCGAAGGCGGCUUACUGGACGGUAACUGACGUUGAGGCUCGAAAGCGUGGGGAGCAAACAGGAUUAGAUACCCCGGUAGUC